CCAGUUGUAUGAGCCGUAGUGUUAAUGUUGUCUAAGUAUCGUUAGUGGUGACUAACCAUAUCACACGUGCUACAGUAUAAAUACGUGUUUCAGAGAGCUAAAGCAUGUUUUCUAUUGACGGCAGGAUGACGUCACUGUGUUUUUGUCUUUGCAGGGGAACCUGAAACAGGAGAUGAAGAAGAUGCAGGGAACAGAACAGUCUUUAAUUAGCAGAGUGACUGAGAUGACAGACAGGAAACAGAGAUUCCAGGUAAGAAGGACAGGACCUCAGUUGGACCAGGGAUUUUUUUUUUUUUUUUUAGGUCUGACCUGACACAAAAGCCUAAUAAUGUAGACACCCUGUAUCCCUCUAAAUCAAAUGUUACAGUUCACCUUGCAGUGAAAUGCUGAAUACAACAGGUGUAGUAGACCUUACAGUGAAAUGCUGAAUACAACAGGUGUAGUAGACCUUACAGUGAAAUGCUGAAUACAACAGGUGUAGUAGACCUUACAGUGAAAUGCUGAAUACAACAGGUGUAGUAGACCUUACAGUGAAAUGCUGAAUACAACAGGUGUAGUAGACCUCACAGUGAAAUGCUGAAUACAACAGGUGUAGUAGACCUCACAGUGAAAUGCUGAAUACAACAGGUGUAGUAGACCUUACAGUGAAAUGCUGAAUACAACAGGUGUAGUAGACCUUACAGUGAAAUGCUGAAUACAACAGGUGUAGUAGACCUUACAGUGAAAUGCUGAAUACAACAGGUGUAGUAGACCUUACAGUGAAAUGCUGAAUACAACAGGUGUAGUAGACCUCACAGUGAAAUGCUGAAUACAACAGGUGUAGUAGACCUCACAGUGAAAUGCUGAAUACAACAGGUGUAGUAGACCUCACAGUGAAAUGCUGAAUACAACAGGUGUAGUAGACCUCACAGUGAAAUGCUGAAUACAACAGGUGUAGUAGACCUCACAGUGAAAUGCUGAAUACAACAGGUGUAGUAGACCUUACAGUGAAAUGCUGAAUACAACAGGUGUAGUAGACCUUACAGUGAAAUGCUGAAUACAACAGGUGUAGUAGACCUCACAGUGAAAUGCUGAAUACAACAGGUGUAGUAGACCUCACAGUGAAAUGCUGAAUACAACAGGUGUAGUAGACCUCACAGUGAAAUGCUGAAUACAACAGGUGUAGUAGACCUCACAGUGAAAUGCUGAAUACAACAGGUGUAGUAGACCUCACAGUGAAAUGCUGAAUACAACAGGUGUAGUAGACCUUACAGUGAAAUGCUGAAUACAACAGGUGAAGUAGACCUUACAGUGAAAUGUUGAUACAGGGGGUACCGGUACAGAGUCAAUGUGGAGACUAUAUACAGGGGGUACCGGUACAGAGUCAAUGUGGAGGCUAUAUACAGGGGGUACCGGUACAGAGUCAAUGUGGAGGCUAUAUACAGGGGGUACCGGUACAGAGUCAAUGUGGAGACUAUAUACAGGGGGUACCGGUACAGAGUCAAUGUGGAGACUAUAUACAGGGGGUACUGGUACAGAGUCAAUGUGGAGACUAUAUACAGGGGGUACUGGUACAGAGUCAAUGUGGAGGCUAUAUACAGGGGGUACCGGUACAGAGUCAAUGUGGAGAUUAUAUACAGGGGGUACCGGUACAGAGUCAAUGUGGAGAUUAUAUACAGGGGGUACUGGUACAGAGUCAAUGUGGAGGCUAUAUACAGGGGGUACCGGUACAGAGUCAAUGU